UUCUGGUUGAUCCUGCCGGACCUGACUGCUAUCGGAUUGAUACUAAGCCAUGCGAGUCAUUGUAGCAAUACAAGGCAUACGGCUCAGUAACGCGUAGUCAACCUAACCUAUGGACGGGAAUAACCUCGGGAAACUGAGAAUAAUGCCCGAUAGAACAUUAUGCCUGGAAUGGUUUUUGUUCCAAAUGAUUUAUCGCCGUAGGAUGGGACUGCGGCCUAUCAGUUUGUUGGUGAGGUAAUGGCCCACCAAGACUAUUACAGGUACGGGCUCUGAGAGGAGUAGCCCGGAGAUGGGUACUGAGACACGGACCCAGGCCCUAUGGGGCGCAGCAGGCGAGAAAACUUUGCAAUGUGCGAAAGCACGACAAGGUUAAUCCGAGUGGUUUCUGCUAAAGGAACCUUUUGUCAGUCCUAGAAACACUGAUGAAUAAGGGGUGGGCAAGUUCUGGUGUCA
rnacentral:rRNA from 1 species